GACGAACGCUGGCGGCGUGCCUAAUACAUGCAAGUCGAACGCACAGUUUAUACCGUAGCUUGCUACACCAUAAACUGUGAGUUGCGAACGGGUGAGUAACGCGUAGGUAACCUGCCUGGUAGCGGGGGGUAACGAUUGGAAACGAUAGCUAAUACCGCAUAAUAUUGAUUAUUGCAUGAUAAUUGAUUGAAUGAUGCUAUUGCUUCACUACCAGAUGGACCUGCGUUGUAUUAGCUAGUAGGUGAGGUAACGGCUCACCUAGGCGACGAUACAUAGCCGACCUGAGAGGGUGGUCGGCCACACUGGGAAUGAGACACGGCCCAGACUCCUACGGGAGGGAGCAGUAGGGAAUCUUCGGCAAUGGACGAAAGUCUGACCGAGCAACGACGCGUGAGUGAAGAAGGGUCUCGGAUCGGAAAGCUCUGUUGUAAGAGAAGAACGGGUGUGAGAGUGGAAAGUUCACACUGUGACGGUACCUUAACAGAAAGGGACGGCUAACUACGUG
rnacentral:rRNA from 1 species